CCUGUCAUGCGGUCCCUGGCACUUUGUGAGUUUGAGGAUUGUUGCGUUUGCUCCCCCAGACUCAAAAAUGACUGCCUUGCUCAGUUAGCUGCCAGUUUUCCUCACUGGAGUCUGGAAAAAUGACGGCGCCUUCCGCGCCGCGCAAGGAGCCUUCCUUCCGCCGCCAAAGUCCCCUUCCUAACCGGUGGCGCAUCCUUGGGACGCUUCUGGUGACUGUGGGGUUCCUGCUGUUCACCUUCUCCGAUGCCUGUGGUCCACCACCAACAUUUGAGGCUAUGGAGCUCAUUGGUAAACCAAAACCAUUUUAUAAGCCUGGGGAAUAUGCGAAUUAUAGGUGUAAAGUAGGAUGGGAAUAUGUAUAUUUGUUCACCACAUCUACUUACUGUGAACAGAAUAACUCAUGGCUUCCUAUCACUGACUGGGCUUGUGAAAAAAUAAAAUGCGCCCAGCUACCUAUUAUCCCACAUUGUAGGGAACAUAUUGUAAAUGGAACUCUAGCGUGGGGUCACCAGGUUCACUUUGAAUGUGACGAGGGCUAUUAUCUAGUUGGUAGAAAAUUUGUAACCUGUCUACUUAAAGGAUCAACAACACACUGGAGCCAUGGUGUCCCACGAUGUGAAAAGAUUUUGUGUUCACCACCUCCAAAAAUAAAAAAUGGAAAACACACUUUUAGUGAUGUUGAGAUAUUUGAGUACUCAGAAUCAGUAACUUAUAGCUGUGAUCCAUCACACAAAGAAGAUGAAUUUUCACUUGUCGGGGAAAAAUCACUUUAUUGUGUCGCCAAUGGAGUAUGGAGUAGUGGUGCUCCUGAAUGUAGAGUGGUCAGGUGUCCAUUUCCAGAACUCAAAAAUGGAAGACAGGUAACAGGAUUUAGAAAGAAAUAUUACUACCAAGCAAUGAUUAUGUUUGAAUGCAACGUGGGCUAUCAUCUUCAGGGGAGUGAGACCGUGACCUGUAACAGUAAUAGCACGUGGGAGCCCCCAGUUCCAACAUGUGUAAAAGGUCCUAGGCCUACUCAUCCCACCAAGCCUCCAGUUUAUAAUUAUCCAGGAGUAGAAUUGCUGGAGCACAGCAAUCUAAUUUUGGGGAAGAAUUGGCACAUCAUCUUCCACAGCAACUUCAUCAUUUCACAUUCUCACUGAAAGUGUGAUAUCCUGAGCCCCGUGAAUUCUUUAAUGAAGAUCUAGAUGCAUGGCUCAUUGCCCUGAUUGUUGUUACUGCAAUUGCUGGAAUUGUAGCAUGUGGCACCUGCCUGUA